UCAUGGGACAAUGGUGGCACCUCCUAGACACAUGUGGGACCAUGGUGGCACCAUCCAGAUGGACAUGGGACAAUGGUGACACCAUCCAGACACACAUGGGACCAUGGUGGCACCAUCCACGUGGACAUGGAUGGGUGGUGGCACCAUCUACAUGUCCCUAGGACAAUGGUGGCACCAUCUGGACUCAUGGGGGAUGGUGGUGGCACCAUCUAGAAGGAUAGGGGACAAUGGUGACACCACCCAAACACAUGUGGGACAAUGGUGACACCACCCGAAGACACGUGGGACAAUGGUGACACCAUCCAGAGGGACGUGGGAUGGUGGUGGCACCAUCUAGAAGGACAGGGGACAAUGGUGGCACCGUUGGGAUGGGUGGGACGAUGGUGGCACCACCCGGACUCGCGUCCGAUGGCCGUGGUGCCACCCCCUUGGGGACAUGGGGCUGUCACCCCGUAGAGCCAUGGUGGUCCCCAAAUGUUCUCCAUCCCCCUGAUGUCCCCAUGGGGGUGACAGCGACAAGACCUCCUCCACCCCAAAAUGUCCCCAAUGUUGACCUACCAGAACCUUCUUGGUUCUUCUUGAUGGUCUCAUGGACCACCAUGACCUUGCCCCCAUACGUUCUCCAACCCUAAGAUGUUCUCCACCCCAAAACGUCCCCAACGUUGAC
rnacentral:lncRNA from 1 species